AAGCUCAGGUGGUCGGGUUUAGCAGCAAGUGCUCUUACCGCUGAGCCACCUCUCUGGUCCUCACCAAUUUUUAAAAGAAAAUAAUUUGAACCACAUUUGACAGUUGACCCAAGGUUUCCAAACACCAAAACUCAAGAUUAUGUAUCCAAAGUUCUAAAAGCAGGAAGACUACAAGGACUAGAGAGUAUUGUGUCUUGAACUCAAGGCGAAAGAUUUUCUUUCAGAAAGAUGCCAUGGCUCCAGACAACGUCACUUGGCUGUUUCCCAGCUCUGACGGGCAGACAUCCAGCACCAGCCUCAUUAUAUGAAAAUCAGAGGAUUGCCGGGGCUGCGUUCCCAUUGGUGGGUUUCAGAGGACAAUCCAGUUCUUUGGCUUUUGCAGCCAUGUUCACACAAGAGAGAGGCAGCAGUAGGUCUAUGGGACGAUGGCUCAAAGAAUUCCAGAUAUGCUCACCCAGAUGUACCAGGGAACAAAAGAACUUCUCCUCAAUAACUAUUUAAAAUACAUAGACUUAAACCUGAUUUCUGUUCCACGAUGAAGGAGCCAUUAGCCCUGUAACUCGGGUAUUUAAAUGACUAAUUUUAUUAAGCAGCAUAAAAAUUAACAGAAGAUUAAGUUUUAGUGUUAUUAUCAGUAUCCCAUAAAACAAAUUUUGAUACAUGGGAUGGUGAUAAAUUGUAUUAUGUAUAUAUUUUAUAUUUGUUAGAAAUACCUACAUUUGUUUAAAAAUAUUUGAUAUAAGGUUGUAUUUAAAUGUUGGCAUAGCUUAAAUUUGGGCGAAAUUUUCAAAAUAUUCCUUUUCUACGGGAAAGGAAAACAUUUAUAGUUACUCUUCAAUGUCACAGAAAUGCAUCUUUAAAAUUUAUUUAAAAUUUUCUUCCAUC